rnacentral:tRNA from 1 species
GCGGAUAUGGCGGAAUUGGCAGACGCACUAGAUUCAGGUUCUAGCGAAGGAGACUUCGUGCAGGUUCGAGUCCUGUUAUCCGCA